rnacentral:misc_RNA from 1 species
GAACGCACAUUGCGCCCCUUGGCAUUCCGAAGGGCAUGCCUGUUCGAGCGUCAUGAUCAAAUCUCAAGCCUUGCUUGGUAUUGGGUUUUCGUCUUCCUUGUCUUUGUACGGGUAUUGACGUGCCUGAAAAUCAAUGGCGGUGCCUCAAUAGACUCAAGCGUAGCAGACUGACUCGCUUUAGAGGACUUUGUAGGUCCUGUAAAUAAAAUAACAAGUUGGACCUCGGAUCAGGUAGGGAUACCCGCUGAACUUA